AACACUGUUUUAUUUGUUUUUGUUUUUAAAAAUUAUCAAAAAUUGAUAAUAAUUUUUCUGAUCUACUUGAAAAACUGAAAAAGGAAAAAUUCCUCAUUUUAUAAUUCGAGAUGUAUUCAACGAAUAAAUAAAUAAUUCAAAUUACUCGUAGUCUACGAUGGCACCGAUUUCAAAGUGAGCAAAAUUUCUGGAAGGAUAUUUCAUCAGUUUUGAGGUUACGAAUUCAGUAACUUGAAAGAAAUGUUUCUCACGAAUAGUCGAAUGAUUCGGUGCGAGGAAGCUUCUCAAAUUGAUCACGAAGUGAAGCAGAAUAAAUUGGAGAAAAAGUCAGCUGGACGUUGCUAUACGAAUGAAGAUGAUGAGAAAAGAAAAUAUUAGAAUGAUGUGGACAGUACAGAUUAAAUUUCAAAAUUCAGUUCCUAUAGUUGGAAAUGUACUGGAUGAUUACGAAAGAUCGCUUAGCUAGGAGGUGUUUUAAUCUUCUGAAGUGCUAAUAUUUAGAUGUUCAACUCGAAUUCGAAGUUCAUGAAGCAAUAAUAAUGGAAAGACAACCAUCCACAGUCAAAUGCUGCUUUUAUUCAAUGAGAAGUGAAGGAAAGAAUUCGAAAAAUUCAAGAUGAUUGUAUUAGACGUAUUUUUAGAAAGACAAAAAUAUUUUUUCAAACAAUAAAAAAAUAAUUUAGGUGAAGGAAUGAAUUCGAAAAAUUCAAGAUGAUUGGAUUAAUAGACGUAUUUUCAGAAGGAUUCUGUUUUCAAAAAUGAACGAUUCGCACGUUUUAAUGAAUUUUUAUGAUGGUCUUAGAGAACUAUUCAUUCUGGUUUUGAUGCUACUCGUGAGUUUUAUGAGACAUCAAACGACCUACGUUCAGACAACUGAAAUUAUCGUAUCAGCAUUUCAGUUAUCACAACACCAAUGACUCUACAGAUUUUGCGUACCUAUAAUCGAUGCUCUCAACUCUCGAGCUAAAUAAGUUGUCGCUACUGGUUCACUUGAAUUCCACACGUGCCGGACCGGUAACAACUUAUAAUCAAUCUAAACAUCGCCUCCGGUGAAGUUAUAGUUUAGAGACCACCACAGAUUUUCUAAAAGUGAAGUAGCUGUUUUAUUUCAACGUCAUUCGGCUAAAUUGCAUUACUCGUAGCUUCGUCAAGUCUUCGAGUAUUUGUGGGAUUUCUAUAUGCUUGUAAUUGUGUUAGAAAAAAUUAAUUUUGCGUUGUAAAUCAAAAUUAUGUUUAUUCAAAAAGUUCGUGAAUAAAUUGUAUGUACUUAAUUUUUAAAAUCAAAAUAUAUCGCUAUAUUUUGUUUACUUUAUAAUCGUAUAUUAUGGUUAAAUACUGUUUAGUUUUAAUUAUUUUUGUUUUUCACAUUGAACGUACUUAGGUAUGGUGUUGAUGAUUGAAUAAAAUUUUGAACUUUGAAAUUCAGCACCUUGUAUGUCAGAGCUUUCGUUAUGUACGAUCCUUUACAUAUCAUAUGUCUUUUAGUAUGUAGUUAAUACUGUCAUUAGAAUAAUAAACUCAACAUUGAAGAUA